UCUGUGUUUUCAAGUGCGCCUACAUGGGCUCAUUGAUUGAUUGAUUGAUUGAUCGAUCGUAGAACACCGUCAAAGUGUGAAGACAGCCCAUGCGACAAGGACUGCAAAACUAAGUACGGGGCCAAUAAGAGCUACAAGGACGUGGCCGGACACUGCAAAAAAGAAGCGUGUGUGUGCACGCACGUCGUCCUUUGCACCAAAGAACGAUGCGAGGCGUCCUGCAAAGCCAAACAUUCUGCCAAGCACAACCUGACAUCGACGUGCGACCAGUACAUCUGUCGGUGCACCUGGGCAGAGUUAUGCACCGAGGACGUAUGUCAGGGUCUUUGCAAUGAAAACUAUAAAGGGAUGGCCAACCUGAAAUGGUCAUGCAAGGAGUACUUCUGCAUCUGCUCGUGGGAAAAAGGAACGUAAACGGAUCCAGUGACAAAUUACCAACGAAAAUCACCGCAACCACGCUAUGAUGGUCGUUCCUAUAGUAAGAAACGAACAAAAUUAAGCCCACUUGUUACAAUAAAUGCACUGGUGAG